rnacentral:rRNA from 1 species
GAUGAACGUUGGCGGCGUGCCUAAUACAUGCAAGUCGAACGAAGACUGUAGUAAUACUGUCUUAGUGGCGAACGGGUGAGUAACGCGUGGGUGACCUGCCCCGAAGUGUGGGAUAACAGUCCGAAAGGAUUGCUAAUACUGCAUAAUAUCCAAGAGAUUAGAUGCUUUUGGAUUAAAGGAGUAAUUCGCUUCGGGAGGGGCCCGCGUCCCAUCAGCUAGUUGGUAAGGUAAUGGCUUACCAAGGCGAUGACGGGUAGGGGACCUGAGAGGGUGGCCCCCCACAAUGGAACUGAAACACGGUCCAUACACCUACGGGUGGCAGCAGUAGGGAAUAUUAGUAAUGGGCGAAAGCCUGAACUAGCAACGCCGCGUGUGCGAAGAAGGCCUUCGGGUCGUAAAGCACUUUUUGAGAGGAUGAGGAAGGCGGUACUCUCAGAAUAAGUCUCGGCUAACUACGUG